GAGUGCUUGCACUCUGUUGAAUGGAGGAGUGGCGGAUAGUGGCUUAACACACUGCGUGACCUACCCAUCAUAACGGCGAUAACACUUGGAAACAGCUGCUAAUACCGCACAACACCUUUAUAGCGCGGCAAGCUUCAGGACUCAAGCGCGCUGACGGGUGUCGACUGAUAGUAUGGACCCGCGUGUGCAUAUACGCUAUCUUGGUGAGGUAACAGCUCACCAUGGCCACAAAGCAUAACCAGACCUGAUAGGGUGAUCGGCCACACUGGAACCGAAACGCGGGCCACACUCCUACAGGAAUGCACCAUGGGGGAAUCUUCGGCGAUGGACUAAAGUCUGACCGAACAACGCCUCCUGAGUGAAAAAUGUUUUCGGAUCGUAAAACUCUGAUUGUUAUAGAAAAACAUUGAUCUUGAUAAUCUGCAACGUCCCCAGACGGUGUCUAACCUCAAUGCCACGGCCAACUACGUGCCAGAGGCCGCGGUAAUACGUAGGUGGUACAGCGUUGUCCGGAUUUAUUGGGCGUAUUGCUAAGCGCAGAGCUGUUUCUUAAGUCUGAUGUGAGAGCCCCCGCGCUCAACCGCUGGAGGGUCAUUGGAAACUGGGAGACUUGAGUGCUCAAGAUGAGAGUGGAAUUCCAUGUGUAGCGGUGAAAUGCGUAGAUAUAUGGAGGAACACCAGUGGAGAAAGCGGCUCUCUGGUCUGUAACUGACGCUGAAGCUCGAAAGCGUGGGGAGCAGACAGGAUUAGAUACCCUGGUAGUCCACGCCGUAGACGAUGACUGCUAAGUGUUGGAGGGUUUCCGCCCUUCAUUGCUGCACCACACGCAUUAUACACUCCGCCUGGGGAGUACGACCGCAAUGUUGAAACUCACAGGAAUUGACUGGAGCCCGCACAAUCGGUGGAGCAUGUGGUUUAAUUCUUAGCAGCUCGUAAAACCUUACCAGGUCUUGACAUCCUUUGACCACUCUUCAGAUAGAGCUUUCCCUUCGGGGAC
rnacentral:rRNA from 1 species